rnacentral:rRNA from 1 species
CACUCCUGCGGGAGGCAGCAGUGGGGAAUUUUGGACAAUGGGCGAAAGCCUGAUCCAGCAAUGCCGCGUGUGUGAAGAAGGCCUUCGGGUUGUAAAGCACUUUUGUCCGGAAAGAAAUCCUUGGCUCUAAUACAGUCGGGGGAUGACGGUACCGGAAGAAUAAGCACCGGCUAACUACGUGCCAGCAGCCGCGGUAAUACGUAGGGUGCGAGCGUUAAUCGGAAUUACUGGGCGUAAAGCGUGCGCAGGCGGUUUGCUAAGACCGAUGUGAAAUCCCCGGGCUCAACCUGGGAACUGCAUUGGUGACUGGCAGGCUAGAGUAUGGCAGAGGGGGGUAGAAUUCCACGUGUAGCAGUGAAAUGCGUAGAGAUGUGGAGGAAUACCGAUGGCGAAGGCAGCCCCCUGGGCCAAUACUGACGCUCAUGCACGAAAGCGUGGGGAGCAAACAGGAUUAGAAACCCGGGUAGUCCCAU